rnacentral:tRNA from 1 species
AGCAGAGUGGCGCAGCGGAAGCGUGUUGGGCCCAUAACCCAGAGGUCGGUCGAUCGAAACCAUCCUCAGCUA